rnacentral:misc_RNA from 1 species
GGACUACUGGGGUAUCUAAUCCGGUUUGCUCCCCCAGCUUUCAUUCCUCACCGUCGAGCGCGUUCUGGCAAGCCGCCUUCGCCACUGGUGGUCUUCAGUGGAUCAGGGGAUUUUACCCCUACCCACUGAGUACCGCUUGCCUCUCCCGCCUCCUAGCCCUGUAGUAUCUCCCGCAGCCCAUCUGUUGAGCAGGUGGAUUUAACGGAAGACUUGCAGAACAAGCUACGGAUGCUUUAGGCCCAAUAAUCGUCCCGACCACUCGGGGUGCUGGUAUUACCGCGGCGGCUG